rnacentral:rRNA from 1 species
UGGGGAAUAUUGGGCAAUGGGCGCAAGCCUGACCCAGCAACGCCGCGUGAAGGAAGAAGGCUUUCGGGUUGUAAACUUCUUUUCUCAGGGACGAAUAAAGUGACGGUACCUGAGGAAUAAGCCACGGCUAACUACGUGCC